rnacentral:rRNA from 1 species
AGAGUUUGAUCAUGGCUCAGAACGAACGCUGGCGGCGUGGAUAAGACAUGCAAGUCGAGCGCUGAUUGUCGGGUAGCAAUAUUCGGCAGUCGGAGCGGCGCAAGGGUGCGUAACACGUGGGUAAUCUGCCAUGAAGUUUGGAAUAACUUGCUGAAAGGCGAGCUAAUACCGGAUGUGACCGUUGGGAGGCCUCUCCCGAUAGUUAAAGCUGGGGACCGUAAGGCCUGGCGCUUCUUGAUGAACCCGCGGCCUAUCAGCUAGUUGGUGAGGUAACGGCCCACCAAGGCUAAGACGGGUAGCUGGUCUGAGAGGACGACCAGCCACACUGGAACUGAGACACGGUCCAGACACCUACGGGUGGCAGCAGUCGAGAAUUUUUCACAAUGGGCGCAAGCCUGAUGGAGCGACGCCGCGUGGGGGAUGAAUGGCUUCGGCCCGUAAACCCCUGUCAUUUGCGAUCAAACCUCGGUAUUUAAAAGAUGCCGAGCUGAUAGUAGCGAAAGAGGAAGGGACGGCUAACUCUGUGCCAGCAGCCGCGGUAAUACAGAGGUCCCGAGCGUUGUUCGGAUUCACUGGGCGUAAAGGGUGCGUAGGUGGUGAGGUAAGUCGGAUGUGAAAUCUCGGAGCUUAACUCCGAAACUGCAUUGGAAACUACCUCGCUAGAGGGUUGGAGGGGGGACUGGAAUGCUUGGUGUAGCAGUGAAAUGCGUAGAUAUCAAGCGGAACACCAGUGGCGAAGGCGAGUCCCUGGACAACUCCUGACACUGAGGCACGAAAGCUAGGGGAGCAAACAGGAUUAGAUACCCUAGUAGUCC